GUGUCAGCAGCCGCGGUAAUACGUACUGUGCGAACGUUAUUCGGAAUCACUGGGCUUAAAGGGUGCGUAGGCGGCCGUUUAAGUAGGGUGUGAAAUGCCAGAGCUCAACUUUGGCAUUGCGCUCUAGACUGAAUGGCUUGAGUGAGAUAGGGGUGUGCGGAACUUCCAGUGGAGCGGUGAAAUGUGUUGAUAUUGGAAGGAACGCCGGUGGCGAAAGCGGCACACUGGGUCUUAACUGACGCUGAGGCACGAAAGCCAGGGGAGCGAACGGGAUUAGAUACCCCAGUAGUCC
rnacentral:rRNA from 1 species